CGGAGACUCCUACGGUAACGGGGCUGCUGUGGGCAUCGCGGAGGUGAGCUCGGGGUGGCUGGGACCCGAGACACCCCGGGACCCGGAGGCGUUGAGGAAGAGAGCUGUCUCGGCUGCCGCCCCCUUCUGCCGCGAGGGGAGCCGGAGCCCCAAUGUUGUGCCUCGGGAGAGGCAGGGGGCGGUCCCCCUCCCUUGGGACCUGCCCUCCGGCCGCCCGCCCCCCCUCCCCUGCGACCGUCGGGAUCCCCUCUGCACCUCCGGGCACUCGAGGACCCGAGUUUCGCGCAUCGCCAUCCUGUUGAGACGGGUGGAGGGAGAAUGGUGUAUAUGUACACCCAGCACGUGAGCUUGCAAGUCAGAUACCUGAAUACCUGUUAUGGGUGAGCGGUGGCUGAUUUUAAGAAAAGGGUCGCGACCCAGAGGUUGAGAACCGCUGGAUAGAUGAUUCAGUACUUCUUUAUAAGACCAUUAUGGGACCUGAAAACAUCCCAUAACAUAGUGUCCUUAAAUACCACUUCUACUUCUGCCUCAGAUCUGCAGAAUGAGGACGUUUAUUAAAGCUGGGACAAUGAAACAAGGAACGGCCUAUGAUAGAAGCAACAGGAGAGACACUAUGCAAGGAAGUGAGCGUAGGCUGGGCUGCUGUGGCUCACUAAGGAGUCAGAGAAAAGGGGCCUUGGUGACAGGGGCAGGGGGUUAGCCUGGGGCCAGCUGCUGCUGCCCAUGCUUAUUUUCUGAAGUUUCUUACAUAAAUGUCAUACUGUUUUUGCUUA